rnacentral:rRNA from 1 species
CUUCGGGUUGUAAAGCUCUUUCGGCCGGGAAGAAAUCGUGNGGGCUAAUACCCCAUAUGGAUGACGGUACCGGAAUAAGAAGCACCGGCUAACUACGUGCCAGCAGCCGCGGUAAUA